UUUUGCUUCGAGACACGGCAUCUGAAAGCAGACUGUCCCCAUAAUCUGCUUCCACAGGUGGAGUCUGCUCCUGUGCUAGCAGAUGCUUCCUGUCACGACGGGACUUAGAGGAGUGGAAAGACAGAAGCACGGUCCACAUUUUUUUCCACUCAGCUACCGUUGCCAAGCAUAAGAAGGAUGUGAAUCUAGGGACUCACCUAACCCAUUUCUUACCUGCGGAUGCCACGUGCACAGAGGUUACUCUGUAUGGCAAAGACAAAGCACACCAUGGAGAGAAGGCACCUGAUCUUGGCAUUUUGGGCAAGUGUCAUAAUCACAUAAUUAAAAAAUUUAAUCGACCACUACAGAAAGCAAUAAAUAUAUAGAACUGAUAUCAGAGAAGGCAAAUCCAAAGAUAUCCUAAUGCUUAUUAAAUAAGGGCAACUUGAAGGGUAAAAAAUAAAGAAAUGAAUUUA